rnacentral:rRNA from 1 species
UACGAAGGGGGCUAGCGUUGCUCGGAAUGACUGGGCGUAAAGGGCGCGUAGGCGGUUCGUACAGUCAGACGUGAAAUUCCCGGGCUCAACCUGGGGGCUGCGUUUGAUGCGUGCGGGCUUGAGUUCGGAAGAGGGUCGUGGAAUUCCCAGUGUAGAGGUGAAAUUCGUAGAUAUUGGGAAGAACACCGGUGGCGAAGGCGGCGACCUGGUCCGAUACUGACGCUGAGGCGCGAAAGCGUGGGGAGCAAACAGG